GAUGAACGCUGGCGGCGUGCCUAAUACAUGCAAGUCGAGCGAACAGACGAGGAGUUUGCUCCUCUGACGUUAGCGGCGGACGGGUGUGUAACAUGAGGAUAACCUACAUAUAAGACUGGGAUAACUUCGGGAAACCGGAGUUAAUACCGGAUAAUAUAUUGAACCGCAUGGUUCAAUAGUGAAAGACGGUUUUGCUGUCACUUAUACAUGGAUCCGAGUCGCGUUAGCUAGUUGGUAAGGUAACGGCUUACCAAGGCGACGAUGCGUAGCCGAGCUGAGAGGGGGAGCUGACACGCCGGAACUGAGACGCGGUCCAGACCCCAACGCGAGGCGACAGUGGGGAAGCUAACGCUAGGGGCGGAAGGCUGACGGAACAGCGCCGCGUGAGGUAUGAGGGUCUGGGGAUCGUAAAACUCUGUUAUUAGGGAAGAACAAAUGUGUAAGUAACUAUGCACGUCGUGACGGUACCUAAUCAGAAAGCCACGGCUAACUACGUG
rnacentral:rRNA from 1 species